GGGCCAUAAUUCUGUUAAAUUUGGUCGCAGCAAAAAUUCCUUCCUUUACUACCAUCUACACAUUAAGGUUGUUCAUCCCUGUAAGUUUAAGCAAAAUCUGCCAUCCGGUUUAAGAGGAGUUGCGUUCACAAGAUUUCGGGACGUACGGACGGACGGACGGACGGACUGACUGACGGACGGACGGACGGACAAGUGCAACGCUAUAUGCUCCCACAUUGUGGGGGCAUAAAAA